rnacentral:SRP_RNA from 1 species
GGAGGUUAGUGGUGGACGAGCUGCUCGCCAACUGGGUCAGGUCUGGAAGGAAGCAGCCCUAACGAGUUCUAGUGCGGGUCACUAUGCUAGCCUCCUAU